rnacentral:rRNA from 1 species
CGUGAAGCCCCCCUCAAGAUGAGAUUUCCCAUUUCUUCGGAAAGUAAGAUCCCUGAAAGAUGAUCAGGUAGAUAGGUUUGGAGUGGAAGUGUAGCGAUGCAUGGAGCGGACAAAUACUAAUCGAUCGAGGACUUAACCAAAA